GUCGUCAGCUCGUGUCGUGAGAUGUUGGGUUAAGUCCCGCAACGAGCGCAACCCUCGCCCUUAGUUGCCAUCAUUUAGUUGGGCACUCUAAGGGGACUGCCGGUGAUAAGCCGCGAGGAAGGUGGGGAUGACGUCAAGUCCUCAUGGCCCUUACGGGCUGGGCUACACACGUGCUACAAUGGCGGUGACAGUGGGACGCAAUGGAGCAAUCCUGCGCAAAUCUCAAAAAGCCGUCUCAGUUCGGAUUGGGGUCUGCAACUCGACCCCAUGAAGUUGGAAUCGCUAGUAAUCGCAGAUCAGCACGCUGCGGUGAAUACGUUCCCGGGUCUUGUACACACCG
rnacentral:rRNA from 1 species